GAAGCGGCGGGGACGGGCGCCGAGGAGCAGAGCGCAGGCGCGUCCGGGCGCCAGGAAGCUCAGUCUAGCACAGCAAAGUGGCAAAAAGGAAGAACAAAACAGCCGUCUAUUUAAAAGAGUAACGACAGGGAAAAAUACAUUUUCAUCAGCUCGUCUUCUCGCGGCUGAGUCCCCGCAGCAAGCUCCAAACUCCGACGUUAGGAAAUAAAUCAAAAUAACUUUGCUGUGUUUAGCCUCGUGUUGCCGCGUCCCUCAGCUCUGAGUUGAAAAGCAACAGGUACGUGGUGUCUCUCCCAGAAACACGGGAGCGGGUUUAAAAUGCAAUUACGGGGGCUGGCGGAAGGGAAGGGGAAAUGUUUUUCUUCGAUUGAUGCAUGAUUGCCCCCAUGCUGUUUGGAACCGCAUUUUCGCUGAGCUCUGCUAAGAAGUGCUAUUUGCAGGGAGCCUGACAGACGGAAGCGACUGGGCUUGGCAGGUCUAAUGUAUUAUUUCAGCAGGUCUCCAGGGAAAGAUUCUGGGAGGGGCGCUGGCCUUUUAAAGUGCAGAGGACAAGGGGCAGCUCAGCCUCUCUCCAGCCUGUCAAGGCCGAUCCCUGGAAACAGCCCCUGAGCCUCCUGGAGAGGCCCCCCCCCCGCCGCCCCCUCUCCUCCCCUCCCUGCCGCCCUCGGCUCCCACUUGACAAGCCCCGUCAGUCGCGUGUGCAGCCAGCCAGGCCUUCCCGGGCGCGUCUGAGAGGCUGGCUCUCUGCUGGGCACUGCGGGGCUGAGAAAGGGCUUGGGCCGGCUGGGGUGGGGUAGGGAGGCUGGGCCUGCAGGAGCCCACAGCGUGGGUGGGGGGCAGCACAGCCAGAAGUCUGGUGCGGCUGGCACAUUGGAACGUUCGGGAAGACGCCGGUGGCGGGAAGUAGGCAGCAGUGGAGUGUAAGGACCCUGCGUAGAAACGCCCACGGAGGAGGGCGCAGCCCGAGGACCCCCGGGCAGGACGGCCGCGGGGCUGGAGCGGGCUGAGCGUCGGACGCGCCGAGGCUGGGCCCCUGCCGUGUCAGACUCUGCCCUGAGCGCUCUGCUUGUAGUAGUUCAUUUCAUCAUGACGACCGCUGGUAGGUUGGAGCGUUGUCCCCGUUUUGCAGAGGAAACUGAGGCAGAGGGCGGUGAAGCGUCUUGCCCCAGGUCACUCAUCCUGUGACAGCAGAGGCCGGCUGUGAGCCACCCUCCCAGCCACUCUGCUGUGGGAAAGCCGGCAGGGGCCGGCCCAGGGGCCGGGCGGGACCAGCAGCCCAGCGGCCUCCUUUGCCGGGCUCUUACAGUGUACCAGGCACUGCGCUCAGCUCAGAAUAAGGAAAUGGAUCGACCUCGGCCCCUGCUUUCAGGAAGUCGACGGUCAGAUGAAGAACGUGGUUGUUUAAGUAAACUAAAAGCACAGUGGAGGAUGACGGUACAACAGCAAAGAGUUUUUCAAGACACAGAAGCAGCGUGGAGGAGCAGCUGACUACGUUAGUCCUCUUGGAGGGUGAGGCCGGGAGGGCUUCCCGGAGGUGAUGUGUAAUCUGAGUUUUACAGGAGGAACAGAAGUUGCUGUAUGGAUAGAAGGGGCGGUGCAGGGAACAGCAGGUGGAAACAGGCCCGGGGGUGGAGGGAACUCCUGAAAGGACCGUGAGCCACGCCAAGGGUGCCCCCGGAGGAAAACCACUGCUCUAGACUCUCAUCGUGUAGGAGGAAAGGAGAAACGCACAAGAAACGAGAGGCAGCGAAGGCUCGGAGACGUCAAGUAACUGCCCAAGGUCACACAGGCAAGAGAAAGCAGAGCGGGCACCAACCCCAGCGUCGCCGGCUGAGAGCCGGCUCCUCCCCACCCUCCGGCCCCUGACCCCUUGGGGCCCAUUUUUCAGAGGGAGAAGCAGAGGCACAGAGACAAUAAACAACCCGAGAGGCCACAGAGCGAAAUGGGUAAGGGCCCUGGAGCCAGACUGGCUCAGACCCUGCUUCUGCCACUCAGUAGCUGGGCGUCUCCAGGAGAGGGCUUAGCCUCUGUCUGCCUCGGCUUCCGCAUCUGCCACAUGGGGAUAACAGCUCCUGACUUACAGAACGGCGUGGAUGCUAAGAGCUGAGAGCUUGGUGCAGCGCCCGGCGGGCGGCAAGGCUCAGGCCGUGUGAGCUCGACCACGCGAGCUCAACCGUGCGGCGCUGGCGCCCAGCAGGGCAGGCGCUCUGCCCGGGGCCCUUCGGCCGCUCAGCGCCUCCUCUCGGAGCCUCCUUAAAGAAGGUUGCUUGGUGGCCUGUGUUCCUCUCUGAGUCUGGGGUGUCCUGGAGGCAGAUCUCAGCCCAAGCCUGAGCCACAUGUCACCGGAAGGGCACAGCCUGCGGUUUGUGGAUGCCCCGGCCCCGCGAGCCCCAGAAACCUGCCCCAAGGCCCAGGGCCCUCUGGGGCAGAUCGCAUGGGGCUGGGAACCAGGAGGGGGUGUGUGGAGGGUGGGAACAGGGCUCGGUCCUUGGUGAAGGGCUGGAGAGGUGGGGUGGGCGGCUGGCAGAGCAGGUCUGGGGGUGGCCUGUGCAGAGGCCUGGGCAGGUUGGAGUGCUAGGCUGUCUGUCAAUCUUGGGUUAGCAGCACCCUCUUUCUGUCUAGGAAUCCAGGUUCUUGGGGUGCUGCCUCCUCGGAGAAAAAUGCUGGUUUUCCAGCCUCCUCUGCAACCAAGGGGCAGCCAUGGGCCCGGCUCAGCCGACCAGGUGUUCCCACACGAGACAUGGAUCUGAAGUGAGGUGUGCACAGAAGCAGAAGCAGACUGUUGUCUCCUCUGCCCUGGGUGCCCCGACCCCAGCCUCUAACAAUGGAUGGAUUUUCCCGAGGGGAACCCUAACGGGGUUCGGAAGGGCAGCUCUGGGCUCUACUUUUUGUGACUGACAUUUGUACAGGUGAAGUAAAGUUGAAAUCAAUACAGA